UAAGUGAGCUACUUCAAAAUAGCUUUAGAGCUAACCCGUCCCUGUCGCAAAAGGGUGGGAUAAUUUUUAAGUAGAGGCGAUAAACCUACCGUACUUAGAGAUAGCUGGUUUUUUAAGAAAAGAAUUUUAGUUCGGCCCCAAGUCUUCCUAUUGAACAAAAACUUAUUAUAGACUUAAAAGCUAUUCAAAUAAGGCACAGCUUAUUUGAAACAGGAUACAACCUUGAACCGAGGGUAAGACAAAUUAAAUUUCAUAAGUAGGCCUAAAAGCAGCCACCUUUUAAAAAGCGUUAAAGCUUAACACUAAUAAACCGUUUAAUUCCCGCGACAACCUCAAACCCUUAACCCCCAUUAAAGAACCCCAUAAAACUAUGGAAGCUAUUAUGCUAGAACAAGUAACAAGAAAAAGACUUUCUCCAAAAUGUAAGCUUAAGCCACAAUAGACAAACUACUGGCAAUUAACGUUUAUGAGCUACCUAUAAUAACACCGACAAGAAAACUCUAAACCCUUUAACGUCAACCUUACACUAGAACAC
rnacentral:rRNA from 1 species